GAAUUAAAACAAAAAAAAAAAACAAAAGAAUUUUUUUUUUGAAAAUCUAGCAGUAGUUGCCAUUUUUUCGUUGUGAAAUUUUUUCACCAAGAGUUCCUCGGCACCUAACUACUGAGGUUUUCCUCGGCACUAAACUACCGAAGUUUUCCUCGGCAGUUAACUGUCGAGGAUUCCCAUGACAGGGUUCUACGUAACUGACGUAGAUACCCAUAAAACACCCAAAAAAUCAAUCGAAUAAAAUGAACAAUACCUGUUUUUUUACGUCAAUAGUGUGUUGAUACCUCCUAUGUUUGAUGCUUGAAUUAUUUUGGAUCAAAAAUUGAUUAAAAAAAAAUGGAUUUUGGGAUUGAAUGGAGGUGAAAAUGAAGGUGAUGAAGAAAAUAGUGUGUAGGGGGAGCAGGUGGCUGUUUCAUCGGAUGAAACAUUUUCCUCGGCAGUUAACUGCAGCCGGAUUUCAAAUUCCUCAGCAGUUAUCUACCGAGGGGUGUUUGCGUAAUGUACUUGUGUUUCUCAGCCAAACAACAAGUGGGAACAACAAUUCUCAAAUAAUUAUGAAGAAUAACAACAAUAAUGAAAUCAAAGACAGUUUAAGUGAUUUACCUAAUUGUCUUGUACUUCACAUACUCUCCUUUUUGGACACCAAAGUAGCCAUCCAAACUUGCGCGCAUUCUAUCCACGAGAUGGAAGAAUAUUUGGAAACAUCUUCCCAACCUUACACUACUUUAUUCCUCGCAAUUUAACACGCUCGAAUCUUUCACAACAUUUGUUUCUAAUAUUUUAUCUCUUCGCGAUUCCUCAACUAUCUUCGCGACAUAAAAUUUAUAGUUGACCCUCGCCUACUCGAAACUAUCAUUGAAUACGCUGUUUCACCCAAUGUCAAGCUAUUAGAUAUGGAUCUCUCAUCUCAUAUUCAACGCUUUCCUCUUUGCUUAUUUUCAUCUCCCACUUUAACAUCUCUCCACCUCCAGGUCAAAACUCAUCACAAAAUAUUUUUUCCAAAUUCUCUUAAUUUGCCAGCCUUAACCAGCUUAGUUCUAUGGUACUUUUGCUUUCCUCUUAGUUAUGAUGGUCGAGACGAACCUUUUUCAAAAUUAAAAAAGUUGAAGAGUUUGUUCAUUUACAAAUGUGAAGUUAAUGAUGCACAAAACCUUUGCAUAUCAAGUAUCACACUUGUCACUUUACAUAUCAUCACACGUCCCAAAUAUUGUUUCGGAAUCGAGCUCUUUACUCCAAGUCUUAUUAACUUUCUUUUUAAUGGUAUUCCUCUUCAAAAACUAUGUGGAAGCAAUACCAAUCUCCCGAACAUCAAAUGUGUACAUAUUGAUUUAAUCAAUUUGGAGAAUUCUUCCGAGACUUCAUUGCUUCUACUCAACUAGCUGGUCUAGCUUGCUAAUAUCCAAUAUUUGAGCAUCAGUUCAACUACUCUUAAGGUUCUUUCCUUAGUUCCUAACUUAUUGAUGGCUGAGCUCCCUUCCUUGUGUAACUUGAAGUCACUGAGAGUAUAUGUUGACUCAUGCUUAUCCAUACCUGAUGGAAUAGUUGACUUUUUGCUUCGAAAGUCACCCUCAGCAAAGGUCGACAUCAUAGACUGGUCGAGUUGAAACGAGAGUCAAGAGCACAUGAGAGCAGAAGUUAUCCAUGUUUGAUUUUGCAGUAAAGGCACGGUGGAAGGUACGAAAGCUAGAGGAAUCUCUGAUAUGUUUUGCCAAGAACUUGGAAUCAAGAGAGUCCUCAAGCAUGAUGACCUGUAACAAUAACAUUUUUUCACAAGAGAUAUCUUUCUCUAAUAGCUAGAUAACAUGUUUAAGAUUUAUUUAUUUUCCACAGUUUAUUUGUUUGUUUCAAGUAUUCUACUUUUAAGGGAUUUAUAUAUUUUCAUUUGAUUAUUUUCGA